rnacentral:rRNA from 1 species
UGGGGAAUUUUGGACAAUGGGGGCAACCCUGAUCCAGCAAUGCCGCGUGUGUGAAGAAGGCCUUCGGGUUGUAAAGCACUUUUGUCCGGGAAGAAAUCGCACCUGAUAAUACCGGGUGUGGAUGACGGUACCGGAAGAAUAAGGACCGGCUAACUACGUGCCAGCAGCCGCGGUAAUACGUAGGGUCCAAGCGUUAAUCGGAAUUACUGGGCGUAAAGCGUGCGCAGGCGGUUGUGCAAGACCGAUGUGAAAUCCCCGGGCUUAACCUGGGAAUUGCAUUGGUGACUGCACGGCUAGAGUGUGUCAGAGGGGGGUAGAAUUCCACGUGUAGCAGUGAAAUGCGUAGAGAUGUGGAGGAAUACCGAUGGCGAAGGCAGCCCCCUGGGAUAACACUGAAGCUCAUGCACGAAAGCGUGGGGAGCAAACAGG